CUUCGAAGACCAGCGCGAUCAGGCAGCUAGAAGUAGAAGGUGAGGCAGUAACGUUUAAGUCCACAUAUGAUAUGGGAAGAACAUGCAACCCAGACUGUUCUGUUUGAUCCUGACAGCCCAAAGAAGGCUAGAUUCAAAAGGUGCAUUAAGGGGACAUUCUUCCCACUCACCUCCUCCGUAGACUUGGCACAGGUACGGAAACCUCCAGACGUUGCCCAGUCCCACAGCAAAUCCAAUACAAGUGAGCAGGUACUGGAUCUUAUUGUCCCACUUGGGCCGCUCUUCCUCAGCCUUGGUCAUGUCUGU